rnacentral:rRNA from 1 species
GCGUCCAAAUUACUCGUGAAAGCCAGCGUCUAUCGCCAGUUUGCCACCAUUAAACCCAUUCACCCCUUUCCUAAGCCCUCCCCGCUCCCACCCGACCCCUCGACCAUGUCCCCCAGGAAGGACGCCGGCCCCUCGCCGGCGGCGGCGCCCGCCACCGCGCCUGCCCUAACGCCUUCCCCAUUCAUGCCCAUGUGUCAGAUGCGGCGGGAUGAGUGCGCAGACCUCCUCAAGCUGAUCUCAGGCGUCUCGCGCCCGCUCGAGGACGUCGUGGCGGAUUUCCUCGCCCGCGUCCCGCCCGAGCGCCGCCUCCGCUUCGGUUCCGCCAUCAAGUUUCUCCUCGAGGACAAGGUGAUGUUUCAACCAGCUGAGCGUUUAAUUGCAUUUGCAAUUCUUCAUCAAGGGUAUUCCUCACAGCUGACAAAUCCGUUUGUUCCAUUCUUAAUAAAUGUUGCCUGUGAUGAAAUUUCUGAGAGACCAGAACGUGUUUUUCUCCAGCUUUUGCUAACUUCAGCUAAUGAGGACAACAAUAAGGAGAUCUUGAAACAGUCUGCAGAAGAUUACUUGAAGGAGCCUUCUUAUGCAUCUCAGGUGUUGCUGCCAAAAGACCGUCUUGAAAGCCAAUACUCCUGCAAUGAUGUUCAGCUACAGACAUACACCAGUUGCGCAGCUGCUACGGUUAGAAGUGCUAUUCCUGACCCAGAUGUUUCCCAAAGCUGUGGUGAUUCAUCAGGAAUAUCACCGACCAAACUAAAUAGAGAUAAUGUGGUGACGAAUUUACUUCAACAAACACCACUGAGAGGAUUGUCUCCUCCAUGGAUUAGGCCCUCUCCCCCCAGACUUGAAAUACUUGAAGGGGAGUUGCAGUGGUUGAACCUGGACAACAACCAUGAGCUACUAUGGGAUAGUAGCAUGUGUGCUGACACUAGCCGAGGAGCUUCAAUCCGUGAUUUGGUCGGAAGAGCCUGUAAAGGACCACUUGCCCCUGCCCAACAAGAGCAAGUUGUUUUAGACUUAGCCAGGGACUGGAAGCUAGUUUAUCAUUGCGGAAUGACACCAGAGAAGCUUCCCGACCUUGUUGAACAUAAUCCACUCAUUGCUGUUGAUGUUCUUUCAAAGCUGAUCAAUUGUCCUGACAUGGAUUCUUAUUUCAAUGUUCUUGUGCACAUGGAAAUGAGCCUGCAUUCAAUGGAAGUUGUAAACAGGCUUACUACAGCAGUAGAUCUACCACCAGGAUUCAUUCAUGACUACAUCUCAAAUUGUAUUCGGUCAUGCCAAAAUAUCAAGGAUAAGUACAUGCAAAACAGACUUGUGAGACUAGUUUGUGUUUUUCUACAGAGUCUCAUUCGGAACAAGAUAAUAAAUGUUGAAGAUCUAUUCAUUGAGGUACAAGCCUUCUGCAUUGCGUUUUCUCGAAUAAGAGAAGCAGCUGGUUUGUUCAGGCUUCUCAAAUCUCUAGAGUGAAGAAGGUUGUAUGAGUUACCGGAGUUCAGCUCUAUAAACAAAAAUUUUCAUGCUGUACAUUCAUAGUCUUAUAUUUUCGUGUUGAUCUGCCAAUUCAGGGCUGUACUUCAUAGAUCAUAGCCCUUGUUGAUGUAUUUAUUGUCAUUAAGCUGUUCCCCUCACCUAAAGAAAGGUCAAGAGAUAUCAGAACCGUUACCCAGGCUUUGAUAGUUCCGCCAAAUCAUUUUGAUGUGGACUUAAACCACAUGUUCUUCAGCUGAGACAAAUUAGCAAUUACCUUUAGCCUGUUGAAAGAUAGCUGAACAAUGGGCGCCUGCUUCUCGGUUCAGGCUCCCGAGUACCAGUAAUUUGAGAGAUUUCUUAAUUUAAAUUCAGAUGUAAAGACUAGUUGUACUCAUUUGUGUGAUGUUUUGUUGGGUUACUUGGG